GACGAACGCUGGCGGCGUGCUUAACACAUGCAAGUCGAACGGAAAGGCCCUGCUUUUUGGGGUUGCUCGAGUGCCAAACGGGUGAUUAACCCGUGAUUACCCUGCCCUUGAUUUUGGGUUACCUUCAGGAAACUGGGGCUAUUACCGGAUAGGAGUCCCUGCGCCUGGGUGGGGGUGGGAAAGUUUGGGCGGUUGGGGAUGGACUCGCGGCUUAUCAGCUUGUUGGUGGGGUAGUGGCUUACCAAGGCUUUGACGGGUAGCCGGCCUGAGAGGGUGACCGGCCACAUUGGGACUGAGAUACGGCCCAGACUCCUACGGGAGGCAGCAGUGGGGAAUAUUGCACAAUGGGCGGAAGCCUGAUGCAGCAACGCCGCGUGCGGGAUGACGGCCUUCGGGUUGUAAACCGCUUUCGCCUGUGACGAAGCGUGAGUGACGGUAAUGGGUAAAGAAGCACCGGCUAACUACGUG
rnacentral:rRNA from 1 species